GACAGAGGGUGCAAACGUUGUUCGGAAUUACUGGGCGUAAAGCGCGUGUAGGCGGCUAAGCAAGUCGGGCGUGAAAUCCCACCGCUCAACGGUGGAAGUGCACCCGAAACUGCAUAGCUAGAGUCCUGGAGAGGAAGGUGGAAUGCUUGGUGUAGAGGUGAAAUUCGUAGAUAUCAAGCGGAACACCGGUGGCGAAGGCGGCCUUCUGGACAGUGACUGACGCUGAGACGCGAAAGCGUGGGGGAGCAAACAGG
rnacentral:rRNA from 1 species